rnacentral:rRNA from 1 species
UACAGAGGGUGCAAGCGUUGUUCGGAAUUACUGGGCGUAAAGGGCUCGUAGGUGGCCAACUAAGUCAGACGUGAAAUCCCUCGGCUUAACCGGGGAACUGCGUCUGAUACUGGAUGGCUUGAGUUUGGGAGAGGGACGCGGAAUUCCAGGUGUAGCGGUGAAAUGCGUAGAUAUCUGGAGGAACACCGGUGGCGAAGGCGGCGUCCUGGACCAACACUGACGCUGAGUGAGCGAAAGCCAGGGGAGCAAACGGG